rnacentral:miRNA from 1 species
AGGUGGAUGUUAGUGCAAUUUA